rnacentral:RNase_P_RNA from 1 species
GAAGAAAGACAGAUGGACGCUGGUUUUUUUAAACGAGAGGAAAGUCCGGGCACCUGAGAGCAACGGUGCCGGUUAACGACCGGUCAAGGUAACUUGAAGGAAAGUGCCACAGAAAAUAAACCGCCUUGGAAAGCUACGGUUUUUGAAGGUAAGGGUGAAAUGGGGCGGUAAGAGCGCACCGCAGACUUGGAGACAAGUUUGGCACGGCAAACCCCACCGGGUGAAAGGUCAAGGUGAGACCCGUCGUCCUGUGGCUCGCAGGCUGGGUUUCUAAUGAGACCGCUUGAGGAUGUUGGCAACGACAUCCCUAGACGAAUGGCCAUCCGUAGGAUCCGAGCAAUUGGGCCUACCGACAGAAUCCGGCUUACGGCUUUCUGCGACG